AAAAUACAUAAAAAAAGUAUUCCCAGUGGUUUAGACCUGGUGGGGGGCGACUUAGGCCCAGUGGGCCACCAGGCUUGCAAUACACUGGGGGAAACCCUGUAACUAUUUAUUCUCUUUACCUCUCAAGUCAGAG